GUCUUUUUGAUUAUAAUUUAAAGUCUAACCUGCCCAAUGAGGAGUUGAAUGGCCGCGGUAUUUUGACCGUGCAAAGGUAGCAUAAUCAUUAGUUUUUUAAUUGAAAGCUGGUAUGAAUGGUUGGACGAGAAAAUAACUGUCUCAAUUUAAUUUUUAUUAGAAUUUUAUUUAUAAGUAAAAAAGCUUAUAUUUAUUUAAAAGACGAGAAGACCCUAUAGAAUUUUAUAUAUUAAUAUAUAUAUUAUUUUUAGAAUUUUAAAUUUUAUAUAUAUCUAUAUAUUUUGUUGGGGCGAUAGAAAAAUUUGAUUAACUUUUUUUAUAUAAAUAAACAUUAAUGUAUGAUUAAUUGAUCCGUUACUUACGAUUAUAAGAUUAAAUUACCUUAGGGAUAACAGCGUAAUUUUUUUUUAGAGUUCUUAUCGAAAAAAGAGUUUGCGACCUCGAUGUUGGAUUAAAAUUAACUUUUGGUGUAGGGGCUAAAAGGUUAGGUCUGUUCGACCUUUAAAAUUUUACA
rnacentral:rRNA from 1 species